rfam:Ictidomys tridecemlineatus contig078051, whole genome shotgun sequence.
GGUUGUGGCUCAGUGGUAGAGCACUUGCCUAGCACGUGAGAGGCCCUGGAUUCAAUCCUCAGCACCA